UCCAGACUCCUACGGGAGGCAGCAGUGAGGAAUAUUGGUCAAUGGCCGAGAGGCUGAACCAGCCAAGUCGCGUGAGGGAAGACGGCCCUACGGGUUGUAAACCUCUUUUGUCGGGGAGCAAAGCGAACCACGUGUGGUUCAUUGAGAGUACCCGAAGAAAAGGCAUCGGCUAACUCCGUGCCAGCAGCCGCGGUAAUACGUAGGGGGCAAGCGUUAUCCGGAUUUACUGGGUGUAAAGGGAGCGUAGACGGCAGCGCAAGUCUGAAGUGAAAUGCCGGGGCUUAACCCCGGAACUGCUUUGGAAACUGUGCAGCUAGAGUGCAGGAGAGGUAAGUGGAACUCCAUGUGUAGCGGUGAAAUGCGUAGAUAUAUGGAAGAACACCAGUGGCGAAAGCGGCUCUCUGGUCUGUAACUGACGCUGAGGUUCGAAAGCGUGGGUAGCAAACAGGAUUAGAUACCCCAGUA
rnacentral:rRNA from 1 species